GACGAACGCUGGCGGCGUGCUUAACACAUGCAAGUCGAACGGUGAAGCGAGUGCUUGCACUCGUGGAUCAGCGGCGAACGGGUGAGUAACACGUGAGUAACCUGCCCAUCACUCUGGGAUAAGCACUGGAAACGGUGUCUAAUACUGGAUACGACCAACCCUUGCAUGGGGUGUUGGUGGAAAGAUUUAUCGGUGAUGGAUGGACUCGCGGCCUAUCAGCUUGUUGGCGGGGUAAUGGCCCACCAAGGCGACGACGGGUAGCCGGCCUGAGAGGGUGACCGGCCACACUGGGACUGAGACACGGCCCAGACUCCUACGGGAGGCAGCAGUGGGGAAUAUUGCACAAUGGGCGAAAGCCUGAUGCAGCGACGCCGCGUGAGGGAUGACGGCCUUCGGGUUGUAAACCUCUUUCAGCAGGGAAGAAGCGGAAGUGACGGUACCUGCAGAAGAAGCACCGGCUAACUACGUG
rnacentral:rRNA from 1 species